GACGAACGCUGGCGGCGCGCCUAACACAUGCAAGUCGGACGGAGUUUGUUGGAUUGAUCCUUCGGGUGAUUGAUAGCAAACUUAGUGGCGGACGGGUGAGUAACACGUGAGCAACCUGCCUUACACAGGGGAAUAACGCACCGAAAGGUGCACUAAUACCGCAUGAGACCACAGCUCUGCAUGGAGCAGUGGCUAAAGGAGAAAUCCGGUGAAGGGUGGGCUCGCGUCCGAUUAGCUAGUUGGCAGGGUGAUAGCCUACCAAGGCGACGAUCGGUAGCCGACCUGAGAGGGUGAUCGGCCACAUUGGAACUGAGAUACGGUCCAA
rnacentral:rRNA from 1 species